UGGAACCACAUUAAUAAUGCA
rnacentral:piRNA from 1 species